GUGUGUUUCAAAGAUGUUGUAUUCCCAUUAUUACCUCGAAUGAUCUUUGGAAUGUAUUAUAACAUGUCUUUGAUACCAGGCUGUUACAAAAGUGGUUUAUUCCAUGCUUUUUCUAAACAUGUUUUACAUAAAUUAAAUAUUAAGCAAGAUGAAUAUUCUGGAAAGAAAAUUAUAAUUACGUUAUUGUCAAGAGCAACGACUUUCAGACAGAUAUUGAAUGAAAAUGAAGUAA